GAGGCAGUAGCUCAGUGGUGGAGCCCCUGCUUCGCAUUCGGGGAACCUAGGUUCGAUUCCCGGCUGCUUCC
rfam:Toxocara canis scaffold31, whole genome shotgun sequence.